GGCGGAGUUUAUGAACUUUCACACCGAGCGCUGGCGACGGUGGACAGAUAUGUUUUCUGUUGGUUCAUUCGACCCUUUGUGAGGGUUUUAACUUCUUAUUCUUAUUAUUUUGUACCAAGUUUUUUUUUUUUUUUUAUUUCUCUGCGCCAAGAUGAUGCGCUUCCUGCUCCUCUUCAGUCGCCAAGGGAAGCUUCGUCUACAGAAAUGGUACACGCCUCUGACUGAGCGAGAGAAGAAAAAGAUAAUCAGAGAUAUGACUACCAUGGUGUUGGCACGGCAACCACGAUCAUGUAACUUCUUACACUGGAAAGACUUGAAAAUUAUUUAUAAGAGGUAUGCCAGCUUGUAUUUCUGCUUGGGUGUGGAAAGCGAAGAGAAUGAGCUAUUGGCUCUGGAAGUCAUCCAUCGCUAUGUGGAGCUGCUUGACAAAUACUUUGGCAAUGUGUGUGAGCUGGACAUAAUCUUUAACUUUGAGAAAGCCUAUUUUAUCCUCGAUGAAUUUCUAAUGGGCGGAGAAGUACAGGAAACUUCCAAACAGACCAUAAACCGGUGCAUUGAAAACUCUGAUAUGUUACAAGAGGAUGACAACAAUGAGUGGUAUGAGGUGGAGCUGUUUGGAUGACCGUGAAUUUGGACAGAAAGGUUAGAUGCUUUGCUUGUGUCGGUGUGUGUUAGUUUUCUCAGCAGACCAUGGAGGAGUAUAUGAGCAAGCCUGCAUUCUGACCGUGGAAUCAUGGACCUUUGAUAUAAAGAGCUAAAAUGUACUGUAAAAAAUAUAUUUGGAAUGGAAAUUAUUUUUAAAGAGGAAUUAUGAUCAUUUGCAUAUAUUCUGCCUAAAACAUUGCUUGUUCAAGGUAAUAAUUUAAUUGUUUUUAUACAGAAUGCACAGUUUAGAAUUUGCUUGUUCAGGGAAGAUAAAGUGGAAUUAGAUUUAGAGUUUUUGUAAUUACACCAAGGCUAUUUAUAAAGAUGUGAUGUGUUUAUUAAACCACUACAAUAUAAGGGAAAUGGAAAUCCUAGCACAUCUUUUUCUAAGGAUAAUUAUGCUGUCUAAUUUUUUAAUUAUAGAAAAUAUUUGCAGUUGAAGUGUCAGUAGUGUGUGUACUCUGCAGUUUGCUAGAGUGGGUGUGAGGAUAUUGUAAUGUGCAAUUUUGAUAUGUUGUAGCUCUAAAUUAAAAUAAUGUAGUUUGA